rnacentral:misc_RNA from 1 species
AGAAAGAAGAUGAUGCAGAAGCAUCAAAACAACCUACCCAGACACCUUCCACAGAGCAAGCAACUCAAACAAAUCUACAAGAAUCUGUUUCUAUGAUGAUCCAAACAGACAACCAACCCACAGAGAAAGAACAGGCGCUGGAAGACGAAACAGACAUGCUGAAGGAUGAGCUGAGUGAAGCCAAGAAAAUGAUCCGCGACCUGCAAGCCGAGCUGGCCAAGAGCAAGGCCAGCAGUAACUACAUGGUGACCACGCUCAAGUGUCAGUUGAAGAAGACCCAGGAAUCGCACCAGGCCCAGCGGUGUCAGUCGGACAGACAGAUGGGCGAGGUGCUGGCUCAUCUACUCUACCUGGAAGGACAGUUAAAGAAGGACAAAUCUCAUAUCAAAUUUCUAUUAAGACAGAAGGACGACAUCAUUCAAAAACAGAAGUGUGACAUUGAGGAGUUAAAGAAUACGAACCAAAGGUUGAUCGAAGCGGUCAGGGAACACUAUGCAAGAAAAGGGAAGAACGGACUGUCGAAGGAACACAGUGAAAGCUUACAGAACGCUGAGGCGGAGGUCCCGUGUAGUCCAAAAGUGAAAGUGAAAAACAGGGGUGCGUUCGGUUCAUGUGAAGGACAUUAUAUGGAAACAUCGAAGCAGCUUAGAUCUAUCAGAAGCAGGUAUGGAAAUUCAGGGGAAUCUCAAGAAAGAUCGACAGUACAGCAGUCAGGAGAACCUGUUUUCAUUGGGCAGGAGAAGCAAAGAAGCAAGAGAGAGCAGAGACAAAAAGUGUAAAAGUAUCGCUGGCUACCCCGAUCAUUCUUUGGAAUAUCUUAUUCCCGAGGAAGCGGAACUGCGUGAUAUUUCUUUGCAUGGAAGUGCUUCGUCCCUGAAAAAGGGUCAAAAGAGUGGACGGAACGUCAGUUGGGGAAGUGAUAAUAGUGAUGUGAAUAAUUCUUACGACAGUAAUGGCCAUCUCAUGGUAUCCCCGAUGAUGUCAGCGGGAUCCAUGCCAAUGCUAAAUAAAAAUUCAAACUUGGAUCUAGUGACAAAAGAUCGGCCUCAUUCCAUCUCCAGCAUCGAAAGUUUGUCUCGCGAGAACUGUUCCUCUCUUCCUGGGACCCCGAAAAUGGAAGAAAAAGUACCGCAUCCAGUGCCACAAGAAUCUUCAAAUCCAUUCAAAAACCUCAAGACUAUCCUGAAGCGGAAAGGAAGUAAAAUGAAAAACAAGAAACGCACGGUUUCACUCUCGAACAGUGCCAAUCCGGAAUACGAGGAAGCUAUGAAGAAACAUUUUGAAAAGUAUGAGAUGUCAUAACUCUGGUUCAUUUGGUAUAAGGGUACCUGUUCAGCAUCAUUGUGCAUUAUUCUUCUAUUUACAUUACUUUCUAUAAACUCUAGUCUAUCAGAAAAAAAAGCAAUGAAUACAUUUAAUUAUAUGUGUAAGAAACUGGAAUCAACAUAAUGAAAGGUUUCAAUUUUUAUUUUUUCUUUGCGUUACUUUUUGUUUCAACGUUUAAUUAAUACUGAUUGAUAUGCUACAUUUGUUUCAAUAGAUU